UGGGGAAUAUUGCACAAUGGGCGCAAGCCUGAUGCAGCCAUGCCGCGUGUGUGAAGAAGGCCUUCGGGUUGUAAAGCACUUUCAGCGGGGAGGAAGGCGUUAAGGUUAAUAACCUUGGCGAUUGACGUUACCCGCAGAAGAAGCACCGGCUAACUCCGUGCCAGCAGCCGCGGUAAUACGGAGGGUGCAAGCGUUAAUCGGAAUUACUGGGCGUCAAGCGCACGCAGGCGGUCUGUCAAGUCGGAUGUGAAAUCCCCGGGCUCAACCUGGGAACUGCAUUCGAAACUGGCAGGCUAGAGUCUUGUAGAGGGGGGUAGAAUACCAGGUGUAGCGGUGAAAUGCGUAGAGAUCUGGGGGAAUACCGGUGGCGAAGGCGGCCCCCUGGACAAAGACUGACGCUCAGGUGCGAAAGCGUGGGGAGCAAACAGG
rnacentral:rRNA from 1 species